GGAGAGAUGGCUCAGUGGUUAAGUGCACUGACUGCUCUUCCAGAGGUCUUGAGUUCAAUUCUCAGCAACCACA
rnacentral:tRNA from 1 species